UACGGAGGGGGCUAGCGUUGUUCGGAAUUACUGGGCGUAAAGCGCACGUAGGCGGCUUUGUAAGUUAGAGGUGAAAGCCCCGGGGGCUCAACUCCGGAAUUGCCUUUAAGACUGCAUCGCUAGAAUUGUGGAGAGGUAAGUGGAAUUCCGAGUGUAGAGGUGAAAUUCGUAGAUAUUCGGAAGAACACCAGUGGCGAAGGCGACUUACUGGACACAUAUUGACGCUGAGGUGCGAAAGCGUGGGGAGCAAACAGG
rnacentral:rRNA from 1 species